AGCAGGAGUUCUUUCACAGACCGACGUUUUCUGCGUUAGCGAUGAGAGAAGCAUCGUGAGAACCGAGCGCUGACGGUCGUCUUCUCACGUUUCCCCAGACACGUACUAAAAUUAUGCAGAAAGGAAGAGCGUGGCAGUCUGGGGCCUCCUCUGCUGAAGUACAACCCCGAGGCGGUCUCACACACAGACCCACAUCCACCAUGACGGCACUCAGCCACAGUCCUGAUGAAAUGUAAUCAAGUCCGAGGUCCUGGUGCUGCUCCUCAUUAAAAUGACUGUUAUGAGAGAGUGUGAACAGAGAGCUCUCAGCAACGAGGAGAAGAAGGGGGCUGGAAUUAAUCUGUGCCAAAAGUCCCGCCUACAACUCGGAGAAAGGCGUCAUCAUCUUUAAAAGACGACUGGGAACGCUUUGAAAAUUGAUCGGUUGUUGAGAAUUCUCCAGAAUCCGCCCAACUCCGGCAUGUUUUCAUCCGUCUGACCGCCUCUAACAAAGAUGGAAAGUGUAAAGUGCCGAUCACAGCAUCAUGAACUUCAGGUUCAGAGUGGAGAUCUGAAGACCAACAGAUUAAACUGAGGAGGCAGCAGGAGGACGAGGAGAAAGAUCUGGGUGGAUGGUGGAGAACUCAGAGGCUCUAUGAUCUGAGCUGCCGGCUCCUGCUGAGGGAGGUGUUGAUGGACGGGGCGUUGGUGCAUCCCAGCAGGCCGAGGGCUCGUCCUCCUGCUGGGAGGAGAAGACCUGCUGCAGCUUCUGUUCGUUUCAUGAAACUCCAGUGAAACUGCAGCAAGCAGACCUUCUCGACCACAUCUUAUUAUUCAAUCACUUGAAUAUUCGCUGGGUUUUCUGGUUCUUGACUCUUUCUGUCCUUAAUUAUCUGAAUGAAAAGCAUUUUUUUCUGAUGAUCUCCAGGAGCUUAUUGAACUUGAGCUGUGUGAACCGAAACACACUGAACUGUUUUGUUCUGUUUGGAAAAAUCCUCUCACAUCUGGUUUCAUAUUUUAAAAUGGAAAAAUAAACUCUGAAGGAAAAAAAUGAUAUAAAUCAAAAGGUCAUCCUCAUGGAAACACUGUAAAGUGAAGAGGAACUAAAGAACACAUAAAUAUGAUCAUUAAUGUUAUUUAAACAUUUAUCAUUUUAGAAUCAAACUCA